rnacentral:rRNA from 1 species
AUUGAACGCUGGCGGCAUGCUUUACACAUGCAAGUCGAACGGCAGCACGGGCUUCGGUCUGGUGGCGAGUGGCGAACGGGUGAGUAAUACAUCGGAACGUACCCAGUAAUGGGGGAUAACUAUCCGAAAGGAUAGCUAAUACCGCAUACGCCCUACGGGGGAAAGAGGGGGAUCGCAAGACCUCUUGUUAUUGGAGCGGCCGAUGGCUGAUUAGCUAGUUGGUGAGGUAAAGGCUCACCAAGGCGACGAUCAGUAGCGGGUCUUAGAGGACGAUCCGCCACACUGGAACUGAGACACGGUCCAGACUCCUACGGGAGGCAGCAGUGGGGAAUCUUGGACAAUGGGCGCAAGCCUGAUCCAGCAAUGCCGCGUGCGUGAAGAAGGCCUUCGGGUUGUAAAGCGCUUUUGUCAGGGAGCAAAUCCUUGUGGCUAAUACCCACCGGGGAUGAGAGUACCUGAAGAAUAAGGACCGGCUAACUUCGUGCCAGCCGCCGCAGUAACAC